GUAGCAGGAGGAUCUGGUUGGUUCCAGCGCCGGUGAGCCUCAGAAUAGGCGGGGCUCGCCCGCGCGUGUCGGAGGAAGGGGUAGCGUACCUGUGCUUCGCACGGCGGCGAGAAGAAAGGGGCGGCUCGGCUCGGCUUCGCUUCGGCCGGCGGGGGAGAAGAGAGGGGCGGCGCGGCUUUGGUUCGGCCGGCUUCGGGAGUGAUGGAUUGGAGUUCAUCCUCAUCAUCUUCGUCCGAUGAUUCGAACAUAGAAGAGAUGAUCCUCGACGAUGAUGUUGUUGCAUCUCGUUGAAGAAGCUGAGGUGGGGCCGAAGAAAAAGUGGCGCGGAUCCACCGUAGAAGUUGGGCAGACUAUGCAUUCCCCGCAACCAAGCUCUCAGCGACAAGAUGCUCAUGAAGGACUACUUCGUUGAGGUACCGACAUGUCCGGCUCACCUCUUUCGUAGGCCAUAUCAAAUGUGUAGGUCACUUUUUGACCGCAACAUUGAGGCUUGCGAGCAAAAUUGUCGUUUUUUCACUCGGUGUAGGAAUGCUGCCAGUUUGAUUGGCUUUUGUGCAUAUCAAAAAAUAUCGGCGGCGAUAAGAGUAAUUGCAUAUGGUGUUCCCACCAA